UACGUAGGGUGCAAGCGUUAAUCGGAAUUACUGGGCGUAAAGCGUGCGCAGGCGGUUUUGUAAGUCUGUCUUGAAAUCCCCGGGCUCAACCUGGGAAUUGCGAUGGAGACUGCAAGGCUAGAAUCUGGCAGAGGGGGGUAGAAUUCCACGUGUAGCAGUGAAAUGCGUAGAGAUGUGGAGGAACACCGAUGGCGAAGGCAGCCCCCUGGGUCAAGAUUGACGCUCAUGCACGAAAGCGUGGGGAGCAAACAGG
rnacentral:rRNA from 1 species